GAUGAACGCUGGCGGCGUGCCUAAUACAUGCAAGUCGAGCGAACAGAUGAGGAGCUUGCUCCUCUGACGUUAGCGGCGGACGGGUGAGUAACACGUGGAUAACCUACCUAUAAGACUGGGAUAACUUCGGGAAACCGGAGCUAAUACCGGAUAAUAUAUUGAACCGCAUGGUUCAAUAGUUAAAGACGGUUUUGCUGUCACUUAUAGAUGGAUCCGCGCCGCAUUAGCUAGUUGGUAAGGUAACGGCUUACCAAGGCAACGAUGCGCAGCCGACCUGAGAGGGUGAUCGGCCACACUGGAACUGAGACACGGUCCAGACUCCUACGGGAGGCAGCAGUAGGGAAUCUUCCGCAAUGGGCGAAAGCCUGACGGAGCAACGCCGCGUGAGUGAUGAAGGUCUUCGGAUCGUAAAACUCUGUUAUUAGGGAAGAACAAAUGUGUAAGUAACUAUGCACGUCUUGACGGUACCUAAUCAGAAAGCCACGGCUAACUACGUG
rnacentral:rRNA from 1 species